CGGGGCUAAUACCGGAUAACAUUUUGAACCGCAUGGUUCGAAAUUGAAAGGCGGCUUCGGCUGUCACUUAUGGAUGGACCCGCGUCGCAUUAGCUAGUUGGUGAGGUAACGGCUCACCAAGGCAACGAUGCGUAGCCGACCUGAGAGGGUGAUCGGCCACACUGGGACUGAGACACGGCCCAGACUCCUACGGGAGGCAGCAGUAGGGAAUCUUCCGCAAUGGACGAAAGUCUGACGGAGCAACGCCGCGUGAGUGAUGAAGGCUUUCGGGUCGUAAAACUCUGUUGUUAGGGAAGAACAAGUGCUAGUUGAAUAAGCUGGCACCUUGACGGUACCUAACCAGAAAGCCACGGCUAACUACGUGCCAGCAGCCGCGGUAAUACGUAGGUGGCAAGCGUUAUCCGGAAUUAUUGGGCGUAAAGCGCGCGCAGGUGGUUUCUUAAGUCUGAUGUGAAAGCCCACGGCUCAACCGUGGAGGGUCAUUGGAAACUGGGAGACUUGAGUGCAGAAAAGGAAAGUGGAAUUCCAUGUGUAGCGGUGAAAUGCGUAAAGAUAUGGAGGAACACCAGUGGCAAAGGCGACUUUCUGGUCUGUAACUGACACUGAGGCGCAAAAGCGUGGGGAACAAACAGGAAUAGAUACCCUGGUAGUCCACACCGUAAACAAUGAAUGCUAAGUGUUAGAGGGUUUCCGCCCUUUAGUGCUGAAGUUAACGCAUUAAGCACUCCCGCCGGGGGAGAACGGCCGCAGGGCUGAAGAUACAAAGAAUAGAAAAGCGGCCCGCAGAAGCGGGUGAGAGACGUAUGUGUAGUAGAAAGCACCGCGAAGAACAUUACGAGGACGUGAGAUCAGCAGACAGCCCGACAGAUAUGAGAUGAGCUGCCAGCAGAGAAGUACCAG
rnacentral:rRNA from 1 species